rnacentral:rRNA from 1 species
CUACGGGUUGCAGCAGUGGGGAAUAUUGCACAAUGGAGGAAACUCUGAUGCAGCAACGCCGCGUGGAGGAUGACACUUUUCGGAGCGUAAACUCCUUUUAUAUAGGAAGAAGAUGACGGUACUAUAUGAAUAAGCGCCGGCUAACUCCGUGCCAGCAGCCGCGGUAAUACGGAGGGCGCAAGCGUUACUCGGAAUCACUGGGCGUAAAGAGCGUGUAGGCGGAUUAAAAAGUCAGAAGUGAAAUCCUAUAGCUUAGCUAUAGAACUGCUUCUGAAACUCUUAAUCUAGAAUAUGGGAGAGGUAGAUGGAAUUUCUGGUGUAGGGGUAAAAUCCGUAGAGAUCAGAAGGAAUACCGAUUGCGAAGGCGAUCUACUAGAACAUUAUUGACGCUGAGACGCAAAAGCGUGGGAAGCAAACAGGAUUAGAUACCCUUGUAGUC